CUGUCGACUAAUACUGUAGUACAAUUACAUUGGGAUCGAAGUCGGGCUCGAAAAGCAAUUAAUUUAAACAACACGCCGCGCCGAAAUUCAAUUUUUUGGGGGUUCCACGCAGCCAUGUUGAACUUGAUCAUGAUGUUGUACAGAGGGAAAGUGCGAAAGAGAGUGUCGCGAAAAGGAGAAGCAUGAUUAGCUUUGGAUGGAAUUUCUGUUUUGACAGAAGAUGAAGACAUUUUACGACCCUGUACUGCGGUAGGAACAAUGUACAAAAUUUUAUCAUGUGUCCUUGAAUGAAUAAUUACUUCUGCUACUGACAAUGUUACUGUUCCUUAGUCUGGGCACUACACAUAAAAUGCCUGACCGUAAAAACGUUUGGGCAAGCGCUAUUUAAAUUUUGCAAUAAUUAUUUAACACUUUUAAACAUCUCUCAUAAAGAUGGAUUUUAACCAGAAUUUCCUCGUUUGGGAUUGGUUCAGGAAUUUUAGUGUUCCUCUGUUCAGCAUUUACAAAGUAUGUUGUACAAUGUAAAAAAAAAAAAUAUUUACUUUUUAAUGCAUGUUCAAGAUGAUAUUCAGCACUUAUUUUGAUCAUUUAAUAGUUGCAGUGGACUGUGCCUGAGACGAUUCCCCACAGCGCCUGCGUAUAUAGUCAGCUUGUGAAAAUGGAAUCCGAAUACUCACAAGAAGGACAAAACCAGUAUGAAAAUUAACACAAAGAAAUUGUGCCAGAAAUGUUUGAAGUAUCUAUGGGAAUGAUCUGACAACAUCGAACUUGCUGAGCCUUCCUUCUUAAAGUGACAUGACCUGAUAUUUGGCUACCCAGUUUGAGAUACGAACUAAUCAUUUGUUGUACGACUUAUUGUGUAUGAGAUUGCCACCAUUUACUGGAACUUUGAAUUUCCUGUCCACUUUAAACCCCAGCUAUCUACAGUUAUCUUUCUGCUAAAUGAAAUAAAAGAUUGUGGAGGAACACGGAGAAAAGGGCACCUCAACAUGUUCAAGGUCAAGCAGCUUUUUACCAUAUCCAUAGUAUC